AUUGAACGCUGGCGGCAUGCCUUACACAUGCAAGUCGAACGGUAACGCGGGGCAACCUGGCGACGAGUGGCGAACGGGUGAGUAAAGCAUCGGAACGUGCCCAGUGGUGGGGGAUAGCCUGGCGAAAGCCGGAUUAAUACCGCAUACGACCUAUGGGUGAAAGGGGGGGAUCGCAAGACCUCUCGCUAUUGGAGCGGCCGAUGUCAGAUUAGGUAGUUGGUGGGGUAAAGGCCUACCAAGCCGACGAUCUGUAGCUGGUCUGAGAGGACGACCAGCCACACUGGGACUGAGACACGGCCCAGACUCCUACGGGAGGCAGCAGUGGGGAAUUUUGGACAAUGGGCGCAAGCCUGAUCCAGCCAUGCCGCGUGCGGGAAGAAGGCCUUCGGGUUGUAAACCGCUUUUGUCAGAGAAGAAAUCCUUUGGGUUAAUACCUCGGGGGGAUGACGGUACCUGAAGAAUAAGCACCGGCUAACUACGUGCCAGCAGCCGCAGUAA
rnacentral:rRNA from 1 species